AUCCAGGGAUUCCAUCUAGGUAUCCCAUGUGGGUGGCAGGGGCUCAAGUACUUGAGCCAUCAUCUGUUGCCUCCUAUGGUAUACAUUAGCAGAAGCUUGAUCAUAAGUGGAGGCAGAGAGGCCAGCAUUGUUGUGUAGCAGGUAAAGCCACUGCCUGAGAUGCCAGCCUCCCUUAAGGGCACUGGUUCAUGACCUGGCUGCUCCAUUUCUGAUCCAACUCACUGCUAAUUGCCUGGGAAAAGCAACAGAAGAUGGCCCAAGUGUUUGGGCCCCUGAUACCCAUGUGGGAAACCUGGAUGAAACUCAUGGUACCCAGCUUUGGACUGACUCAACCCCAGUGAUGCCAGUUACUGCAGUCAUCUGGGGGAGUGAACCGGUGGAUGAAAGAUCUGUCUAUGUUUUUCAUUCUCUCUCUGCAACUCUGACUUUUGAAUAAAUAAAUAAAUCUUAAAAAAUAAGUGGAGGCAGGAAUGUAACCCAGGCACUCUGAUAUGGGAUGUAGGCAUCCCAAGUGGUUUUAAUGCUGCGCCAAACACCCACUUCAGAACUCUUUUUAAAAGAUUGUUGAGUUUUUUUUUUAAUGCAAGUGUGACCUUUUCUUUUUAAAGGAAAUUCAAGAGAGAAUGAGAGUUUUGGAACUGUAUGCCAAUGAUCCUGAGUUUGCAGCUUUUGUAAGAGAGCAUCAAAUGGAAGAGCUUUAACCACAACUCCUAUGAUUAGAAGCCUGGAGAAGAUGGAGAUCACUUGCUACCUAUGUCAUAUGAUUAAUCUGGAUUUUAAACCCUGUUGGAAGAAGAGUUUUUUUCCCUUAAUUAUUAAAAUUUAAGUGUGGGGCACUCAAUUUUUUACAGCUUAAAUUUUCAGAAUGUAGUAACAGGCAUGACCAUUUUUAUUUAUAUAAAUCCAAAAUCUGGUUUAAAGAAAUUCAAAACUGCAUGAGUAGAAAAAGACUGAGGAUUCCACGAUGGCUGAAUAGAGAAAAAGAUGUACUGCUUUAGGUGGGAAAAUAGCAGAAAAAAAGCCAAGGAAGUACAUUCCCAGGGGAGAGUUGGAGAGAAGGCUGAGUGGAAAUUCUACAGAGGGAAGAGGGACUCUGUGGAGCAGCGUGGAAGGUGACAACGUGCAGCAGCGAGUGCAGAUACCACACAUGAUCUUGCAGCUGGGAACCAGAGGACAUGCCAGCUUUGGAGAGCGAGGUGAGAGCAUACUGUGGUAGACUAUGCCAUUGGUGAUACUGCCUGAGGGAGAGCCUUAUGGACCAUGCUAUCUUUGAGUCUGGCCUGGAGCCCUAUCAGGGGCAGGGUACCCACCUAAUCCAGCGAAAGAAAAGCAUAUUUCUUUCUUCCCACUCCCCAACAAGGGCAACUGGCAACUGGCAGGGAGAAGGUGACAUUUUGACACAAGUAGAGGCUGUAGUAGCUCUUGUACAUGGGAAUGAUUAGGGGUUUUUUACCAAAGGGAAAAAUCCACAUUCCCCCUUGACUUUGAUUCUGGCUGGGAGGAUUGACAGGGGACCGGGCAUCCAAGUAGGACAGUGAGGUGCCCCAGCAUCUCACCAAAUCACAGGCUCCAGGGCUCAAACUGCCAAGGCAGAACACCCAUAGGCAGUGGGCUCUGGAAACAUCUCUGCUGUCUCUGUGGGUGGAGCAGGCUAGCAGGACAGAGCAGAUCUUCUGCAUCCUGUGACUGUGGGAAUCCUGUGGUUGCAUGAUAGAGUGUGGGAUGUAGCUGGGUCUGUAGGCAAUCAGUGUGCCUGGUGUCAGCAGAUCAGAACUCCCUGACUAUUUGGGAUGGGCCAUUGCUGAGGGUUCCAUGCUCACACUGAGGACUGCAUGGAUCCUUUGUGUGGUUUAUGUGGCAGCACAGGUGAGAGUUACACCCACUGUGGGCUAACCCCAGGUAUUGAUCACCUGGGAAGAGAAGAGUUGAGGGUGUGAUUACUGCAACAGAGGUGACUGUCAUUUUGACUGAAAGUGAAAGUUUUCCUCUUUGUUUCUAAUUUUUUCUUAGUAGGUAGCUUUCGAGGGAGCCAAGAAAAAGUCAAAUAAUCAUCACUAUUAAUAUUAAAUUGCAUAUGGAAUAUGUUAUUUUUAACACAAGUAUUUAUGUCAGAUGUAUUUGUGGUUUCUAAAAGCAAUCUUGAACAUUUUGACUUGUUUCCGACCAGAUAUAUCUAACCAGGGAUAGCUAGAGGUUAGCCAUAAGAAAAAAAUACUUUGUUCACUACUUUUUUCCUCAAGUUAAUGACUGCCAAUUUCACUCAUUAUGAUGACCCUAGGAUUUAAAUGUCUGGGCUUGGUACAGGCCACAUUAAAGAUAGGGAAAACCUUGAAGACAUCUAGGCAUCAUUCAUCAAGCUACAUGUGAAUAAAAUUUUUUGGUGUGUGUGUGUGUAUAGGUAGCUUCAUAUCUCAGUAUUCCCUUUUAUACCCUACACACAUAAUGAAUUCUCUAUAAGUUUAGCAUAGUCAAGCCCCUGUAGGAACAUUUUCUACUGGCCCAUUGGAAAAGUAAUGAUAAUUAUCAUUAGAGCAUGAAAAAUGUCAAUGAUGUUUGUCACUACUAAAUGCAUGCUUUUAUUUGUAAAACUUUCAAAGAUUUCUGUUUAAGAUUUUAAACUUUUUUCCUAAACUCAUUUGUGUUGGACAAAAAUGCCUUUCGUCUCAAAUUAACUCUAGAAUGCAACCUUCUGAAUGUAGGCUAGAGGUACAUAAAGGUUGUCUAGAGAAGAUCUCCAUUUGGGACACUUAGGAGACACAUGAGCUGGGGCAUAGGAUUGUUCUCCAUGAGCCAAGCAGUGAAGUAGGAAUUUGGAAAUUCUGCCACAUGUCACCAUCUCUGAUUUCCUUUUGCAUGACCUUUUCAUGCAAGAGCAAAUUACUUAGCUCUACAUGAAUAUCUGCUUCAUACAAAUGAAAUGUUAAGAGUGGGAACUCCUAAGCUAUCAGGGAAAGAACAGGUGGCCACAGUUCAGUAUUAGAGUCUCCUUGAAGAAUGCAGUUAAGAUCCACUUAUGUGCAAAUAAAGGGCCAGUGGAGCUAUCAGUAAGAUAGGGAAACUAUCUCUACAGAACUUUUAAAAAGAGAUUUCCCAGGGAGGAGGAAAAAGGGUUGGAGCAUGGAUGGAAGGGAGGAAAGUAUCACUAUGUUCCUAAAUCUGUAUAUAUGAAAUACAUGAAGUGUGUACAACUUAAAUAAAAUUAGAAAAAAAAAAAGAAAUCCAAAAACAAAAAAAGGAGCUUUCCAUAAGGUCAUUUAAUGAUAUGUAUUCAUUGGAAAGUACUAAAUUAAUUUAGGCUGCAUAAGAAAUGAAAUGUUCUGAAGAUUAGAAAAGUCUCACUAACCUAGCAAUAUAAUAUUCAAUGAGGCUAUCACUUCAUUUGAAAAAGUUAAGGCAUAGUUAGUAUUUAAAGUGUGUGGUAAAUAACUUUUUUUUUUUUACUUAUAAGGUACUGUGAAGAUUAUUUUUUAAUGUGUUCUGGGGAAUUUAUUUGCUAAACAGGGUUCUGUUUCCACUACUGCAGUAUUUUAGGGUAUUUUUUUCACACUUAUGUGGCCUAAAGUCCCAUUUAUUUUACAUAAUAAACGAAGUGAAAAUUUUUUCUGAUUUUAUUCUAAUUCUUGCCUCUAUUUUAAAUUCUGCAGUAUCUGGUCACCUAGAUUAAAUCUCUAAGCACCCCCCCCCUUUUUUUUCUUUGCCAUACAGUGAAUUGUAAUGUAGUUGAACCACCUUGGUAUUGCUCCUGACAAAAUGAUGGAAAAUGCACAAAUAUUCUUUGUAGACUCUAAAAUUUUUUGACUUAAAAAUAAUGCCUGAACUAGUUAAAGAUUUGCAAGCUUGUUUUAUAAGUUUGCCUUCCAUUUCAUGAUUUUUAGGCAGCUGGUAUUUUUGGGUCAUGUCCAUGUUUUCAACAAUGGGUAUUUUGACAUCUGUGUGUCCUUGAAUUGAAUUUCCAUUUUGCAAUGGGAAGAGAAGACAGCAUAUUUAUUUAAUAAGGAAACAGCUGAUUUAGGAGAAUAACUUAUCUUUAUUAAAUUGAGAUGUUUUAGCCAAGAAAAAUAUGGGUCAAUUUUUUUAAUGUUUCUAACAAUUCCCAGUAGAAAUGGGUGGAGCUGUGCUUCCUUAUUUACAGUUCAGCUGCAAUGAGUCAAGAUUCUAGCUCUUUCUUUUCCCAAGAGUGAAUUAACACCGAAAAAUGAUGAGAAGGUCACAAUCCUGGAGUUGAUUCCAGUGUUUUCCACAAAGGCCCCGGCUGGAGGUAGGGAGAUGGGAGGGUAUCAUAACGUAAUGAUGAUAUAAAGAAUUUGCCUGGAAAUUUCCUUGACUCACAUAUUUUGUAAAACAUUACAUCACUUCUGUGAGUUAAUAGGAGACAGGUUAAACCACUCCCCUGAAUUGCAGUUAUUGCUACAGUCUAGAUUAAAUGAUUGUUCAUCCUUUUAAAAAUUUUCUCAUUUAUUUGUUUUAUUUUUAGAGAUUAUGAGAAUAUAUAGGGGUAAAUGGUUAUAUCACAGAAUACAGACAUGAUUAUUUAUAUAUCAGAAUUAUGUGACGAUUCUUGAGCCAUAGUGUAUACACCAUAAUAUUUGUUCAUUGUGGAGCAUGUAUAAUGAAAGACUUCCAUUUUUAAUAUUGUUUAUAAUGAAAUUUUAUCCAAGGUGGGGAUCAAAUAAAUUUAUGUUACUGUA